rnacentral:rRNA from 1 species
CCCUUAGAUGUUCUGGGCUGCACGCGCGCUACACUGAUGCACUCAACGAGUUUACGACCUUGCCCGAUAGGGUUGGGUAAUCUUUUUAAAAUGCAUCGUGAUGGGGAUAGAUUAUUGCAAUUAUUAAUCUUCAACGAGGAAUUCCUAGUAGGCGCGAGUCAUCAGCUCGUGCUGAUUACGUCCCUGCCCUUUGUACACACCGCCCGUCGCUCCUACCGAUUGAGUGCUCAGGUGAAUAAUUCGGACUGCAGCAAUGUUUGGAUCCCGAACGUUGCAGCGGAAAGUUUAGUGAACCUUAUCACUUAGAGGAAGGAGAAGUCGUAACA